GAAUAUUGGACAAUGGGGGGAACCCUGAUCCAGCCAUGCCGCGUGUGUGAAGACGGCCUUUUGGUUGUAAAGCACUUUAAGCGAGGAGGAGGCUACUUUCGUUAAUACCUAGCGCUAGUGGCCGUUACUCGCAGAAUAAGCACCGGCCAACUCCGUUCCAGCCGCCGCGGUAAUACAGAGGGUGCAAGCGUUAAUCGGAUUUACUGGGCGUAAAGCGCGCGUAGGUGGCCAAUUAAGUCAAAUGUGAAAUCCCCGAGCUUAACUUGGGAAUUGCAUUCGACACUGGUUGGCUAGAGUGUGGGAGAGGAUGGUAGAAUUCCAGGUGUAGCGGUGAAAUGCGUAGAGAUCUGGAGGAAUACCGAUGGCGAAGGCAGCCAUCUGGCCUAAUACUGACACUGAGGUGCGAAACCAUGGGGAGCAAAC
rnacentral:rRNA from 1 species